ACGCACGCUGGCGGCGUGCUUAACACCUGCCAGUCGCACGGAAAGGCCCUGCUUUUGUGGGGUGCUCGAGUGGCGAACGGGUGAGUAACACGUGAGUAACCUGCCCUUGACUUUGGGAUAACUUCAGGAAACUGGGGCUAAUACCGGAUAGGAGCUCCUGCUGCAUGGUGGGGGUUGGAAAGUUUCGGCGGUUGGGGAUGGACUCGCGGCUUAUCAGCUUGUUGGUGGGGUAGUGGCUUACCAAGGCUUUGACGGGUAGCUGGCCUGAGAGGGUGACCGGCCACAUUGGGACUGAGAUACGGCCCAGACUCCUACGGGAGGCAGCAGUGGGGAAUAUUGCACAAUGGGCGGAAGCCUGAUGCAGCAACGCCGCGUGCGGGAUGACGGCCUUCGGGUUGUAAACCGCUUUCGCCUGUGACGAAGCGUGAGUGACGGUAAUGGGUAAAGAAGCACCGGCUAACUACGUG
rnacentral:rRNA from 1 species